AAUUGAAGCAGAGGACAGUGGCGGACGGGUGAGUAACGCGUGGGUAACCUGCCUCAUACAGGGGAAUAACAGUUGGAAACGACUGCUAAUACCGCAUGGCACAUAGAUGUCGCAUGGCAUUUAUGUCAAAGAUUUAUCGCUGAAAGAUGGCCUCGCGUCUGAUUAGCUGGUUGGCGGGGUAACGGCCCACCAAGGCGACGAUCAGUAGCCGGACUGAGAGGUUGAACGGCCACAUUGGGACUGAGAUACGGCCCAGACUCC
rnacentral:rRNA from 1 species